UGCGUAACGCGUGAGCAACAUACCCGUUACAAGGGGAUAACCGGAGGAAACUUCGCCUAAUACCCUAUAGGAUGGUAAUCUGCGUGGAUUGCUAUUAAAAUCUACGGAGGUGACGGAUUGGCUCGCGUCCCAUUAGCUAGUUGGAGUGGUAACGGCACACCAAGGCGACGAUGGGUAGGGGUUCUGAGAGGAAGGUCCCCCACAAUGGAACUGAGACACGGUCCAUACUCCUACGGGAGGCAGCAGUGAGGAAUAUUGGUCAAUGGGCGGAGGCCUGAACCAGCCAUGCCGCGUGCGGGAAGGCGGCCCUAUGGGUUGUAAACCGCUUUUGUAUUGGAGCAAUAAUUACUACGGGAUAGUGAGAUGAGAGUACAAUACGAAUAAGCAUCGGCUAACUCCGUGCCAGCAGCCGCGGUAAUACGGAGGAUGCAAGCGUUAUCCAGAUUCAUUGGGUUUAAAGGGUGCGUAGGCGGACUGUUAAGUCAGGGGUGAAAGGCCGUUGCUCAACGACGGGAGUGCCCUUGAUACUGGCGGACUAGAGUGUUCCUGCCGUGGGAGGAAUGAGUGGUGUAGCGGUGAAAUGCAUAGAUAUCACUCAGAACACCGAUUGCGAAGGCAUCUCACGAAGGGGCGACUGACGCUGAGGCACGAAAGCGUGGGGAUCGAACAGGAUUAGAUACCCUGGUAAUCCACGCUGUAAACGAUGAUGACUAACCGCCGGCGAUAUAGAGAUCGGUGGCCAAGCGAAAGCGAUAAGUCAUCCACCUGGGGAGUACGUUCGCAAGAAUGAAACUCAAAGGAAUUGACGGGGGCCCGCACAAGCGGAGGAACAUGUGGUUUAAUUCGAUGAUACGCGAGGAACCUUACCCGGGCUCGAACGGUUGGUGAACGAGGUAGAGAUACCGAGUCCGCAGGUAC
rnacentral:rRNA from 1 species